ensembl:lncRNA
UGGCUAAAUAGUAGUAAAUGGGAUAUUUCUCCCCUCCAGUUUGUUUUGUUGUGGGGGUUUUUUGUGCCCCCAUUCCACUUCUCUUGCAGAAAGGAGCUGGGAGGUGAUGCAAGCACAACUAGUACAUGUUUUCCUGGGAUGCAGAAGGCAACACUGAUGACUGUGAGCGCUGCCCUUGCACUGGAGGUGAACAAGGUCGGGGCUCCUCUACCCUGAAGACUGGGGCUGAUCAUGCUGAGAUUUGGGCAGCACCUCAUCAAGCCCUCCGUGGUGUUCCUGAGGACGGAGCUGUGCUUUGCCCUGGUGAACCGCAGGCCGGUGGUGCCAGGACGUAUCCUUUCCACAGCCGAUCCUGGGAAAAGCAGGACACGCUCAGGGAGCUUGGAAGGCCAGCAAUUAUGAUGGAGGAGAACACUGUUCUGUCCCUGACACUGUUGUCGUAAAUACUGUCACGAUGAUAUCAACGUGAAUGUCGCUAUCAAAGGAGGCACCGAGAUUUGUCUUGGUGGAGAGGAUGUAACUUACACCCAUUCUGCCUGAGACAAUGAUGGAUUGCUAUGGAAUGUUCAAAUAGAAAGAAAGCUUUUAUCAAGUCAUGAAAAGCAAUGUGCUGGAGAUUAAUAAGACACAAUGGGGAGGGAGAACAGGCAUCAGCAGAAACCUUGACUGUCAGAAAGUUCCUGAGAGUAAGAAGUGCAAUUAACGUAUUUCUAGCCUGUUAUGCCUUGUAUUUUUAAAAUUUAGCAGUUAAAACCAACACUGCAUUAUAGGACAAGAGUUCUAUGCUUGUGGAAAAGUGCUAUGAGAUGAUUAAUAACCAUUAUUGAAAUUCCUAAGAGUGUUUGACAUCUGGGAAAUUAAGGCCUGAGGGACUUCAUCGCUGAGCUUUGCAAUUCUAAGAAGUACGCAGCAUUUUUUACUUGUCUUAUUGAUGGUAACAAAUUAGACUUAAUCCUGAUUUAUCUACUUUUCCUGAAAAAUCAAGACUUAACUGAGUUUUUAAUAAGAUGCACGUAUUACUAAUGAAACUUGAUCUACUUAAUUUAACAUGGAGAAGAAAACCAGACUUUUCUCUGGUAGGCUUUAGCAUUCAAUAAGGCUAAUGGUAGAUGCCAGUUUUUGGGAGGAAGCAAGUAAUGUUUAUUCAAGCCACUUGAUUUUCCUGCAGUUUAUGGGAUAUGAUAAUUGCUGCAAUUUUAAGAUCAAAAAGCCAUUUCUAUUCAUUUGAACACUAAUGUCUUUAGGGGCUUGGGACUUUCUAUUAAUCCAAAAUGUACAAAGGCUGAAAAAAAAAUAUAUCCCAGAUUUUAGUAAUGAGUAAUGAGUUUGAAGGAGUGCAUGAAAUAUGAUGGUUCUCUGUGUGAAAUGAAUAUCAUGGAGAGUUGUAUCAGUAGGGGUGAAUUAGCCAAUGAAUUGCCAAUAUUGGAAUAAAGAAAUCUAUCUGCUGUGCCUCA